rnacentral:rRNA from 1 species
GAAUAUUGGACAAUGGGCGAAAGCCUGAUCCAGCCAUGCCGCGUGUGUGAAGAAGGUCAUCGGAUUAUAAAGCACUUUAAGUUAGGAGGAAGGGCAGUAAGUUAAUACCUUGCUGUUUUUACGUUACCGAUAGUAUAAGCACCGGCUAAUCUCGUUCCAGCAGCCGCCGUACUACUAAGGGUGCAAGCGUUAAUCGGAAUUACUGGGCGUAAAGCGCGCGUAGGUGGUUCGUUAAGUUGGAAGUGAAAGCCCCGGGCUUAACCUGGGAAUUGCUUUCAAAACUGACGAGCUAGAGUACGGCAGAGGGUGGUGGAAUUUCCUGUGUAGCGGUGAAAUGCGUAGAUAUAGGAAGGAACACCAGUGGCGAAGGCGACCACCUGGGCUAAUACUGACACUGAGGUGCGAAAGCGUGGGGAGCAAACAGG